rnacentral:tRNA from 1 species
GGGCUCGUGUGGUAACGGAUAUCCUAUUGGGCUUCGGACCCAAUGAUCCGGGUUCGAUUCCCGGCGAGCCCA